rnacentral:rRNA from 1 species
AUGAUUUCCACACCACAGAGGUUCUACGAUGACCUCUUUGCUUUACACCCAUGGUGGUGGAGGAAGCCAUCCCACUACUCGAUUGGUGUGACCUUCGGCUUCGAUAUUGGGAUCGGUAUGGAGUUCGAGAGUGUGAUGAUCAGUAUAGGCAUUUUGCUCAGGUGGGGGCAUGGUAUAGGCAUGUUGCUCGGGUGGGGGCAUGGUAGUGUGAUCGGUGCUACUAGGGUUGAGACUAUACUCCAUUUCCCCAAGACCGAAACCGGAGAGUGGGAAGGUAGUAUUGUCAUGGUCAUCCAUGUUUGA